UACGUAGGUGGCGAGCGUUGUCCGGAUUUACUGGGCGUAAAGGGAGCGUAGGCGGACUUUUAAGUGAGAUGUGAAAUACCCGGGCUCAACUUGGGUGCUGCAUUUCAAACUGGAAGUCUAGAGUGCAGGAGAGGAGAAUGGAAUUCCUAGUGUAGCGGUGAAAUGCGUAGAGAUUAGGAAGAACACCAGUGGCGAAGGCGAUUCUCUGGACUGUAACUGACGCUGAGGCUCGAAAGCGUGGGGAGCAAACAGGAUUAGAUACA
rnacentral:rRNA from 1 species